rnacentral:rRNA from 1 species
GAUGAACGCUGGCGGCGUGCCUAAUACAUGCAAGUCGAGCGAACAGACGAGGAGCUUGCUCCUCUGACGUUAGCGGCGGACGGGUGAGUAACACGUGGAUAACCUACCUAUAAGACUGGGAUAACUUCGGGAAACCGGAGCUAAUACCGGAUAAUAUAUUGAACCGCAUGGUUCAAUAGUGAAAGACGGUUUUGCUGUCACUUAUAGAUGGAUCCGCGCCGCAUUAGCUUGUUGGUAAGGUAACGGCUUACCAAGGCAACGAUGCGUAGCCGACCUGAGAGGGUGAUCGGCCACACUGGAACUGAGACACGGUCCAGACUCCUACGGGAGGCAGCAGUAGGGAAUCUUCCGCAAUGGGCGAAAGCCUGACGGAGCAACGCCGCGUGAGUGAUGAAGGUCUUCGGAUCGUAAAACUCUGUUAUUAGGGAAGAACAAAUGUGUAAGUAACUAUGCACGUCUUGACGGUACCAAAUCAGAAAGCCACGGCUAACUACGUG